rnacentral:rRNA from 1 species
AUUGAACGCUAGCGGCAUGCCUUACACAUGCAAGUCGAACGGCAGCGGGGGAGCUUGCUCCCGCCGGCGAGUGGCGAACGGGUGAGUAAUACAUCGGAACGUACCCAGUAGCGGGGGAUAGCCCGGCGAAAGCCGGAUUAAUACCGCAUACGCCCUACGGGGGAAAGGGGGGGAUCGCAAGACCUCCCACUAUUGGAGCGGCCGAUGGCCGAUUAGCUGGUUGGUGGGGUAAAGGCCUACCAAGGCGACGAUCAGUAGCUGGUCUGAGAGGACGACCAGCCACACUGGGACUGAGACACGGCCCAGACUCCUACGGGAGGCAGCAGUGGGGAAUUUUGGACAAUGGGCGAAAGCCUGAUCCAGCAAUGCCGCGUGUGCGAAGAAGGCCUUCGGGUUGUAAAGCACUUUUGUCAGGUAAGAAAUCGUUUGGGUUAAUACCCCGAGCAGUUGACGGUACCUGAAGAAUAAGCACCGGCUAACUACGUGCCAGCCGCCGCCGUAA